rnacentral:rRNA from 1 species
UCGUCGGGCUCGGUCUGCGGGUCUCGGGGUCUGCUGGUCUGGAUUGGUGCGCUGCACUCAAGGUCUGGAGGUCCCUCGGCUCCGUCGGCGGCCGCGGGCGGCCACUGAGGGGACGUGAGGGGACGAGCAGACGAGGGGAGGGGACUGAGGCCGCGAGGGCAGGUCAGGGGACGUCCGACGUCGGGACGAGCGGACGAGCCGACGCGACGAGCGGACCGAGCGGACGAGACGAAGAGGUCGGCCCGCGCCCCGCGGCGGCGCGGCCGAGACGAGGCCGGGACGAGGUAGGAGGUCAGGACGGCCGGAGAGGACGGAGGGCCAGAGGGGGCGCGUUGACGACGGGGCUGACAUCGGCCCUUUAUUUUCUACUUGUAUAAAAUAAGUAGCCACCGGCGUUACCUUCACAGAUGUGGGCGUUCACUAGUUCCCCGACGGACUCUCCCGACUUCAUGACGAUUACUAAACCAUGAGAAAAAAUAGUGCAUGACAAACAUCAAAAAUAGUGCAUAUCAUUCUGUGACAAAUCAACAUAGAAAUAUUCGUAACUCAAAUUUAAGAUUUAAAAACCACAUUAACUCGGUAUAAACUCCAUCGAUAUCGGACUACCUGCAAUUCAAAAGAGAGCGCGGCUUUUAAAAAAAACCCGGGCCCCGAACCAUCGUUCGCAACCUGUAUAUCGAUCCCCAACGAGUAGGGGGUAGCCUAUCUCCGAUUGAGAGCACCUACUACAAAAACUAGGGCCAACUUGGCCGGAAACGGGUUUCCACUCGGAACAGAAACUACCACCACCUCUCUGCCCAUUGGUUGCCGGCGAGCGGCAGCUUCAACGUCAACAAGAUCACGAAGGACCCCCAGAAACGUUCGUGGUUCCCCGUCACGAACCAUCGUGCUCGAUCGGCUCAUCCUACGGCCACUUCAGAUCCUUUUUACGUG